rnacentral:lncRNA from 1 species
CUAAACCUAUCGCUAAACCUAGAUAUCACUAAACAUAAAAAAAACAGAAUCUACCACUAAGUAACUAAAAAAGAAUCUAGAUACCACUAAAUACCAAACAAUAAAAAAUCAACUUCUUCUUCUUUUUUCUCUUCUUCUCCUUCUUAUUCUUCUUCUUCUUCUUCUUCUUCUUCUUCUUCUUCUUCUUCUUCUCCUUCUUAUUUUUUUC